UGGGGAAUAUUGCGCAAUGGAGGCAACUCUGACGCAGCAAUGCCGCGUGAGUGAAGAAGAAAUUCGUUUCGUAAAGCUCUAAAAUCGGGGAAGAGAGCAGACGGUACCCGAAGACAAGCCCCGGCUAACUACGUGCCAGCAGCCGCGGUAAUACGUAGGGGGCGAGCGUUGUCCGGAAUAACUGGGCGUAAAGGGCGCGUAGGCGGCCUGGCAAGGCGGGAUGUGAAAAAACAGGGCCCAACCCUGGGAGGCCAUCCCGAACCGACAGGCUAGAGUGCUGGAGAGGCAGGCAGAAUUCCUGGUGUAGCGGUGAAAUGCGCAGAUAUCAGGAGGAAUACCAGAGGCGAAGGCGGCCUGCCGGACAGACACUGACGCUAAGGCGCGAAAGCGUGGGGAGCAA
rnacentral:rRNA from 1 species